GACCAUCACAGACACCUUAAUUACCAGAACCAGACCUAAUCUCGGUGUUCGCCCUACACUUCUGUUACCACUGCCGGCCCCUCUCCCCCUUCUUCGAAAAAUUCCAGCUUUUUCUCCUUCUCCUAUCCCGCCCAUAUUCGCUUUCGCGAUCAUGUCCACCCUCCCUUCUCAAUCCUUUGACCUCCCAAAUAACCUUCCGAAAUCCCUCCUCAAGCGCCUUCAUCCGCGCCAACACCAAUUUACUCAACAUAACCUGAUUCUCAAUGCUUGUUGGAGCAGGCCGUCGUAACCGCUAGUCGCAUUUGCCGCUUCAGUCGCAAAGCUGGACGGGAUCGCCCCGAUGUAACCACCAUCGACGGCUUUGUUGUCGCCAAUAUCGGAGCCCAGUUCCAUGGCUAGAGUGGAAGAAGCAUUUUGGUCAUGGUGUUGAGGGUGGAGAUAACUGUGGUUGGUAUCUUGUAGACUUCCUGCGUAGGCGGGAGACGCCAGACAGGUAUCUUCUGGGAAGGACCUGAAUUUUGCCUUGGCUCGAGGGAUGGGCGACGCAAGGUGGGGUGUUGACUUUUAGGUGGGUGUUUAUUAUCAUGGCCGUUAUUGUGGCGGACGUAAAGCUUGCGAAAACAGAAUUUUCUGCCACCCCCUGAAAAAUAAUAGCAAAACACCGCAAAAAUAACCAAAAUAUCCAUGUAUCUCUAGAAUCAUUCAAAUAUCAUCCAAUUCAUCCAAAUACACACCUUUAUCAUCAAAUACACACCUUUAUCAUCAAAUAUGUCAAUAUGCCCCGCAACACCCACUGUUCUACUGCCUCACAAGCUCAUAAAGGGACUCCAACUAUCCUUCACCUUCAUCUGCCCAAACCACCUGUUCUGGAUGUUCUGGAUAAUGACAAGAAUCCAACUGAUGAUGAGAAGGAGGAUAAGAAGAAGAAG
rnacentral:sRNA from 1 species